rnacentral:lncRNA from 1 species
UACAAUGACGGUUUUUAAACUUAACUGUCAUUAUAUAUCCACUAAAAUAUAAUCCCAGUAUUAAUGUCGGUUAUUUUAGGAACCGUGGUUAAAGAGGAAAUUAUUCAUCUUCAUUCAUGACCGUUUAUUUCAUAAACGGUCAUGAAUAAUAAAAAAAAAAAAAAGCAAAGCCGAUUUCUAGACUUAGGCAUUUUAUUUCAUCACUUCAAAAUAUCUCUCCCAAAUACCCAAAUACCCAAAUUCCUUCACUCGCUCAUUUCUCUCCAGAAUAGCCAAGAUUAAUUGUUGCCCACUUCCUAACCAUCGCAACCUUGGGAUUAUUGUGCCGUCUCAGCAACCACCGGGUUGAAUCCCAUUUUUAAUGCUCCAAUCCAUCCUCAGUUCACUACCUAGGUCAGAUUACUGGAAGGAAUUUGAAAUUUCUUAUUUAUGAGCCAAAUCAUUCUGCUCUCUAUCUCUCUCUGUAUUUUCAUUUUAUUACUUAUAAAUCUCAUUAAUUUGACUGGGCAGUUUUUAUGGUUUUGUAACCUAGCAUUGGAUGACUCUAAACAUGGCUACUUCUCUCAGAGAUUUUUGGUGUGCUUGAUAUCAGUAUUGAGUUCAAUCAUCUGCAAGGUUUGUUUCAGUUCUUAUAGUUUGUUUUAACACUUUUUCGUUGCCAUGUAAUUCUAUGGUGUGGAUUUUAUGAAAUUCAUGUUUAAUUUAGAAAACUUUGUUUCGUUAAGUAUUUAGUUCUAUGACUGGCAAUAAUAGGUAGAAAACCUUAAAAGGGCCAUAACAUCAAUCGUUUUUGUUGUUUUUUAACUUUGUUUUGAUGUAAUAAAAGUAUUCCUUCCUCCCAAACUCAAUUGAGAGGAUUUAAUUAUUCUUUUCUUAUACUGAAGUUUUUAGAAGCUGUGAUUGCCACUGAUUUAUAAAGAAAACAACAAUUGUAAAAUUAUUCUGCUGUUGUCAUGCUGCUAUAUGCUGUUAAAAAUAGCACAUGGAAAAUCCAAGCACUGAUUUUGUUGAAGAUGAAGGAUUGUCAAAGUUCUCUACAAAAGAGCAUGAGAAUAUUCUUAGUUAGUAGUUGAUUUUGUUAUAUUGGAAGAGUAUUUGUAAGAAUUUCAAUGUAUUACAUUUUGUUGAGGAUGUAUGAAGGAUUAUACAUCUAAUAUUUUUGUAAAGCAAUAUUUUGCAUAUGAUAUAGUUUGUAAAAACAUAAUUGUAAAAAUAUAUUUGUGAAAUAGAAAAUUACAA